AUGUCUGUCCUUGUUUUCCUCUCUGUCCAACACUGAGCUGCAGGUCAACGACCAGAGAGAACUUUGGACCGGAAAACACUCACUGUGUGUGUGUGGGUGUGUGUGUGUGUGUGUGUGUUCGGUGAAACAUCAGAGGCUGCUGGGAAAACUGACUAAAGACAAACAAGAAGGAGGAGACUGAGAGGAGCUGAAGUUUCCAGAUGUUCCUUUAAUGCCACAUCAUCAUCAUCAUCAUCAUCAUCAUCAGGUAUCUGAGUCUCUAACUGCUCCGGUCCGCUCUGGGUUGUGGGCGGAGCCUGUGUCCAGGUGUCUUCAGGUGUUGGUGCUGCGUCUCUGGCAGAUGAAGC